rnacentral:lncRNA from 1 species
AAUACUUAUACUGAGCAUUUGUGAGUGCGUGCUCUGCAGGAGACAUUGUACUUACUCAUUUUAAACAUGUUAUUUUUAAUUUUCAUACUAACCCAAGACAUGGCUAUUACUGUGUUCAUUUCAUAGCUCUGGAAACUGGUUCUGAGAAGAUUCACUCUUUGCCUAAAGCAGCUAACUCUAAGAAAACAUCUCUCCCAUCGUAAUCUUGGAUAAUGAAGCAUCUUACAAAGCCGCAGCCACAGCUCUGCUGUGACCCUAUGUGGCCUCACAUCUCCCUGCACGGUGACGAUUAACAUCCUUUAACUAGCGAACAUCUUCCUUAGACAAAAUAGCAUGCAUGGCUCUUUAACUUAGAGUUAUUUUUAGUAUUUGUGCAAAAUUUUAAAGAAUGUUAAGGUUUUGCUGAAGUCUGAAUUUUAUUCUUGCCUCUUC